rnacentral:misc_RNA from 1 species
UCUGCAUUCUGCAGUGAUCUGUGAUGUGAAUUUGUGAAUCACGUAAAAUUGUGAAAUGUGAAUUGUUAUUGAUGCUUUGCAUUGAUUUGAAAAGUUCGUGGUUUUAUUUACUUAAUUUGUUUAAUUGUUAAGUAGAAUAAAGAUUACUUAACAGUUAAAAAGUUCGUAACUUUUCAACUAAGUUUGCUUUGUUUGGUUUCGUGGUAAUGAUGAACCUUUUUGUCUAAGUGCUGAAGCCCGAAAAUAUUAAAAUAAUGGUCUACGUAUAAUCAAAACAGGAGACAAUGGCAUGUACUGAUGAAGAUGAAGUUAUCAGGGAGGCGUUUAUGAUAAAGAGAUCACAAAACAAGAAGAUAUUCACUCCAGUCAACUACAAGGGUAGAUGGUUUGUCCUCACCAGGAAAGCUCUCAUAUACUAUGACACAGACGGACAAAAGCGUAAAGAGCGCGGACGAAUACCUACGGACGCCAUUCAUACGGUGGAGCAGGCGCAACUGGGAGAGCUGAGCAAGCAAAUACCGGACGGAGACAACGAGAAGAGGUAUCCCUUCCAGGUGGGGUACACUGAGCAGGGCACCGACUACACUUUGUAUUUGGCCGCGCGCGAACACAGCGAGAGAUUGAACUGGAUACACGAUAUACGUAAACUGUGCAUCUCGAAUACCCGGCGCGUGCAGUACCACCCGGCGGUGUGGGCGCGCAAGUGGACGUGCUGCGACGCAGAGCGCCGCUCGGCCUCGGGCUGCGCGCUCGCCGCCGGCUGGCCGCUGCCCGAGCCCGACUUUGAGCUCAUCCUGCACGACCACAAGCCUGUCCACGAGAACGGCCUAUCGGUCACAGCAGUUGUCACCAUGCCGGGGGGAGGAGCGCCUCCCGGGACGCCGUCAGCAAAACUCAAGGAUAAACAGAGGACUAAAGUAGUGGUGGCAUUAUAUCCGUUCAAGGCAAUUGAAAGUGGCGAUCUUUCACUAGAAAAGGGUGUGGAGUACGAGGUUAUUGAUGAUUCACAAGAACACUGGUGGAAAGUCAAAGAUGAAAAUGGGUCUGUUGGAUACAUUCCGAGUAAUUAUGUCAAGGAGAAGGAAACUAUAGGAUUACAAAAAUAUGAAUGGUACGUGGGUGAGAUGUCUCGGCAGCGCGCCGAGUCACUACUCAAGCAAGAAGACAAGGAGGGAUGCUUCGUCGUACGGAACUCCUCCACGAAAGGAAUGUACACACUGUCAUUAUAUACCAAAGUCAAUCACCCCCAAACCAAGCACUACCACAUAAAGCAAAACGCCCGCGGCGAGUUCUACCUGUCGGACAAGCACUGCUGCUCGAGUAUUCCUGAACUGAUCAACUACCACAAGCACAACAGCGGCGGACUCUGCUCGAGGCUGAAGACCACACCGUGCGACCGACCCGUGCCGCCCACCGCUGGACUUUCUCACGACAAAUGGGAAAUCGACCCAUCGGAGCUGGUGUUACUGGAAGAGCUGGGAGCGGGCCAGUUCGGAGUGGUGCGCCACGGGCGCUGGCACGGCAGUAUCGACACCGCGGUGAAGAUGAUGAAGGAGGGCACCAUGUCAGAAGACGACUUCAUUGACGAGGCUAAAGUCAUGACGAAACUCCAACAUCCAAAUCUAGUGCAACUUUACGGCGUUUGCUCGAAACACCGGCCGAUAUACAUAGUGACGGAGUACAUGCGGCACGGCUCGCUGCUGACGUACGUGCGGCCGCGGCAGAGUCGGCCGGCCGACGUGCGCGGCGGCUCCUCCGCCGACCAACUCGGGCCCGGCGUCUUACUCGACAUGUGCAUACAGGUAGGUCACUGGCUAACACCGGCCGAUGUACAUGGUGACGGAGUACAUGCGGCACGGCUCGCUGCUGACGUACAUGCGGCCGCGGCAGAGUCGGCCGGCAGACGUGCGCGGCGGCUCCUCCGCCGACCAACUCGGGCCCGGCGUCUUACUCGACAUGUGCAUACAGGUUUGCAAAGGGAUGACAUAUUUAGAAAAACAUAAUUACAUUCAUCGAGAUUUAGCAGCAAGAAACUGUUUAGUAGCAGAGGAAAAUGUUGUCAAGGUUGCCGAUUUUGGACUUGCUAGAUACGUUUUGGAUGAUCAAUACACGAGUUCGGGCGGUACAAAGUUUCCUAUUAAGUGGGCCCCACCAG